UACGUAGGUGGCAAGCGUUGUCCGGAAUUAUUGGGCGUAAAGCGCGCGCAGGCGGCCUUUUAAGUCUGGUGUGAAAGCCCACGGCUCAACCGUGGAAGGUCAUUGGAAACUGAAAGGCUUGAGUACAGAAGAGGAAAGCGGAAUUCCACGUGUAGCGGUGAAAUGCGUAGAGAUGUGGAGGAACACCAGUGGCGAAGGCGCUUCUGGCCUGUAACUGACGCUGAGGCGCGAAAGCGUGGGGAGCAAACAGG
rnacentral:rRNA from 1 species